GGCGGUGGUAGCGCAGUGGUUAAGGUGUUGGUCUACUGCUCAGAAGGACAUGAGUUCAAACCUCAGCACCACCA